UGCAGAUAGACUGUUUUGUUUUAAAAGCUUUUUUCUCUAAAUUUUUUGCUUGCAUGGCUAAAAUAAACAAUACUUUGUUUUUUAAGAAGGCGGUCUCGUCACUGGACAAAGACUCUGGAAGGGAAGAACCACAGGUGCUGAGCCAGUUUGAGCUGCAGGUAGGAAUGGUUGACACACAGGUUAUGGUAGUCCAGGACCUGGUCUAAGAGUAUGAGAAUUGUGGGAUUCCACCCUAGGACAGGUAAAGGCAUGAGGCCUGACACCUGAGGGGAUGCACUCAGACCAGGAGGGGGACAGAGGUGCUGCUAGCCCUGUAAUUGUGACAACAAUAAAUGAAAUUUAACUGAAAACAUGCAGUGCCAUUAAGACUAGUAUCUGUUGCAGGUAUAUCAUUCUCUGGAAUAAAUAUUACUAAUCACCUCCUUUGCAAUAGGUUCUUACAUUAAAUGGUCAGUAAUAAAAGCAGUGGUUCAAAGGAGCCCCAUUGACUUAAAUAACUAUCACCAUGGAUGAAUUUAACCCACUAUCAUGUUGUACAGUGGCUAAUCCUCUGCUAGGAUGGUAGAGAUCACUGUCCCCCGCUCUUCUUAGCUAAAGGAACACAACAGUUUGAAUUUAUUUCUUGAAAUUUUUUCUGUUUCAGUUAUGAAACCGAAUUUUCUUGGCCGAUUAAACAGCAUUGCAAUAUUCUUAUUAAGCCUGUACUUUCAGCAAGCAAGUGCAAAGGUGAUGACCGCAGAUGCUGCUAAUGUUAAAGGACAUGAUUGCACAGAACUAUUUACUGAAAAUCCUAAUGCUGAAAGUGGAGUUUACCUGAUAAAACCAGAAAAAGUUGCAAAG